AAUUAUGGUUUUUUUUUAAUUCUAAAUUCUUAUAUAUAAAAAAAAAUUACCUCCAAAUCCUAUAAAUUAAUUUUGCAAAAUAAUCCAAAAAGCUCCACCUUGGUUUGUUUGCUUUUUACUUUGAAAUCAUAUUUGCAAUCGUUCUUGUUUUAAUUCUAAUGGAGAGUGUUUUCUAUUGUAAUGUUCUCAUCUAUUUCUCAAUUCCUUCAUCUGCAAAGAAAAGAAUCUACGAAGCACAGUGAUUUUGGGGGUUUUGAAGAUGAAAGACACCAUUAUAACACUAAGUAAAUUUGAGUUGUAUUCUAUUGAAUUUGUCACAAAUUUGAAUGUUGUAUUUAAAUAAUUCUAAUGUUCUCAUCUGCUUUUUCACUUUCUUUGUUUAAAAAGAAGGUAUGUAUUGACCGUUUUAAUAGCCCAGAACAACAUUGUUCAUUCACAUUAUUUUUGCAAAGAUUUGUAAAACUCAAACCAAGAAAUAGAGCUGAGGUAGGUUGAGUUUGAUGGUUUUGGAUCUUA